UACGUAGGGUGCAAGCGUUAAUCGGAAUUACUGGGCGUAAAGCGCGCGUAGGUGGCUUGUAAGUCCGUUGUGAAAGUCAAAGGCUCAACCUUUGAAUGCCGAUGGAUACUGCGGAGCUAGAGUACGGAAGAGGCGAGUGGAAUUCCUGGUGUAGCGGUGGAAUGCGUAGAGAUCUGGAAGAACACCGGUGGCGAAGGCGGGUCUGACUCGGCCGGAUCCGUAGACCGCGAGAGGCCGAAUGACGUGGGGAGCGAAACGGUGGAAG
rnacentral:rRNA from 1 species